UACGUAGGGUGCGAGCGUUGUCCGGAAUUAUUGGGCGUAAAGAGCUCGUAGGCGGUGUGUCACGUCGUUCGUGAAAACCUGCAGCUUAACUGUGGGCGUGCGGUCGAUACGGGCAUCACUGGAGUUCGGCAGGGGAGACUGGAAUUCCUGGUGUAGCGGUGAAAUGCGCAGAUAUCAGGAGGAACACCGGUGGCGAAGGCGGGGUCUCUGGGCCGAUACUGACGUGGAGGAGCG
rnacentral:rRNA from 1 species